rnacentral:rRNA from 1 species
CCUACGGGAGGCAGCAGUAGGGAAUCUUCCACAAUGGGCGAAAGCCUGAUGGAGCAACGCCGCGUGGGUGAAGAAGGUCUUCGGAUCGUAAAACCCUGUUGUUAGAGAAGAAAGUGCGUGAGAGUAACUGUUCACGUUUCGACGGUAUCUAACCAGAAAGCCACGUCUAACUACGUGCCAGCAGCCGCGGUAAUACGUAGGUGGCAAGCGUUAGCCGGAUUUAUUGGGCGUAAAGGUAACGCAGGCGGUCUUUUAAGUCUGAUGUUAAAGCCUUCGGCUUAACCGGAGUAGUGCAUUGGAAACUGGGAGACUUGAGUGCAGAAGAGGGGAGUGGAACUCCAUGUGUAGCGGUGAAAUGCGGAGAUAUAUGGAAGAACACCAGUGGCGAAAGCGGCUCUCUGGUCUGUAACUGACGCUGAGGUUCGAAAGCGUGGGUAGCAAACAGGAUUAGAUACCCGAGUAGUC